ACCCGCACAAGCGGUGGAUGAUGUGGAUUAAUUCGAUGCAACGCGAAAACCUUACCUACCCUUGACAUGUCCGGAAUCCGAAGAGAUUUGGGAGUGCUCGCAAGAGAACCGGAACACAGGUGCUGCAUGGCUGUCGUCAGCUCGUGUCGUGAGAUGUUGGGUUAAGUCCCGCAACGAGCGCAACCCUUGUCAUUAGUUGCCAUCAUUUGGUUGGGCACUCUAAUGAGACUGCCGGUGACAAACCGGAGGAAGGUGGGGAUGACGUCAAGUCCUCAUGGCCCUUAUGGGUAGGGCUUCACACGUCAUACAAUGGUCGGUACAGAGGGUUGCCAACCCGCGAGGGGGAGCUAAUCCCACAAAGCCGAUCGUAGUCCGGAUCGCAGUCUGCAACUCGACUGCGUGAAGUCGGAAUCGCUAGUAAUCGUGGAUCAGCAUGUCACGGUGAAUACGUUCCCGGGUCUU
rnacentral:rRNA from 1 species